ACUCGGGCUCCGGUGAGCCUGCUGCGGGGCCCUGUCUUCGCCCUGGACCUGCCUUCCUCCAGUUUCUCUGCGCCCUGGGGCGGGUGUAUACUUGUGCAACAGUGUGACACAGGGCCUCAGCUUCUGCAGGGUCCCUUCGUCAAUCACUAAGGGCUGAGCCUGAUCCUCCGUCAUCUGUCAAGCGUAGCUGCCACCAAGAAGCCUCUCAACAGUCCAGGCUGCUUCAGCCUGGGUCACAAGGCUCCAAAGCCAAGAAGUCCAGUGAUAAGUUCUAGCCAGCCAUAUACCACAUCAUCAGAGGUCGUGAAACCUUGAGGCAUGUGUGGGGCAGAAGCAAUGUCUACCAUAUCGUUUCCAUAAGAAAUAAGAGCUGGAGAAGUUGCUAUUCAGAGAUCAGGAUCAAGAGAGAGAUUCUUCAGGAUGUUGGAAGAAUGUGAACACCAGUAUCAUUUCUGCUUGGGACAUUGAUUUGAGUCUUGGUGGGAACUUUUGGCUCCAUUCAUGCUGACUAGGUCAGUACAUGAAAAGAACAUAAACGUGGAGAGUGGAGCUUAGUGUACUGCACCUGGGAAGGGUGAUGAUGGCAGGAUGUCUUCAAGGAGCGACUGACAGACAACUAGGAUGAUUCAGACUUGGGCAUUUGGCAGACAUUUUUUGAAAAAGGAACCAAGCGAGCCUGUCACUUCAAGGAAAACAACCUUCUGAAGACUGGUAUGUCCAGGAUCGAGGUGCUGGCAGAUUUUUUUUGUCUAGCAAAGGCCUUCAUCCUGGCUCAUAGAUGAUCAUAGAUGAUCAUCUCCUUGCUAUGGCCCACGUGGUACAAGGGGCAAGGAAGCUCUCUGGGGUCUUUCUUAUAAGGGCACUAAUCCUGAGGCACCUGGGGGGCUUAGUCAGUUGAGCAUCUGACUCUUGAUUUUGGUUCAGGUCAUGAUCUCACGGUUCAUGAGUUUGAUCCCCAUAUCAGGUUCUGUGCUGACAGUGUGAAGCCUGCUUAGGAUUCUCUCUCUCCUCCUCUCUCUCUCUGCUUCUCCCCUGCUCAUUCUCUCACUCUCUCUCAAACUAAAUGAACUUAAAAAAAAGGGCAUUAAUGUGGGCUCCACCCUCAUGACCCAAUCACUUCCCAAAAGCCUCACCUGACAUAUUGGGGAUUAGGUUUCAAUGUGAGACUUUUUUGGAGGAAACAAAAACAUUUAGCCUAUGGCAAUAAUGUUAUUAAUAAUUUUAUAUUAUUAUAUGCCAAAAUGAUAAUAUUUUGAUAUGUUAAGUGAAAUAAACUACUGGAAAAAUUAUAAUUACAUAUGUGGCUCACAUUUGUAACUCCUGUUUU